rnacentral:rRNA from 1 species
UACGUAGGGUGCAAGCGUUAAUCGGAAUUACUGGGCGUAAAGCGUGCGCAGGCGGUUUUGUAAGUCAGAUGUGAAAUCCCCGGGCUUAACCUGGGAACUGCGUUUGAAACUACAAGGCUAGAGUGUGGCAGAGGGGGGUGGAAUUCCACGUGUAGCAGUGAAAUGCGUAGAUAUCUGGAGGAACACCGGUGGCGAAGGCGGCAUCCUGGACCAACACUGACGCUGAGGAGCGAAAGCCAGGGGAGCAAACGGG